CCCCAGAAUUUCUCCAAGCUCUGCCCUCAGCUAACCUCCUCUCCAACUCCCGUGCAUUCUCCUUAGUCAAAACACCCCAUCUAAUCCGCGGUUGUCCCCGAGCACCACUCCUUUUCCUCUUAACCCAGAGACUGACGUCCAUCACUAAGAGUCUAUGAAGAGUCGAAAGUGACUCUCCCGAGAUAACCUUGCAGUCCUUGCACAUACCCCUAUCGCUCCUUCUGAGGAGGAGGUAAUCAAUCUGNN
rnacentral:lncRNA from 1 species